rnacentral:rRNA from 1 species
GAUGAACGCUAGCUACAGGCUUAACACAUGCAAGUCGAGGGGUAACGAGAGGAAAGCUUGCUUUCCUUGUCGACGACCGGCGCACGGGUGAGUAACGCGUAUCCAACCUGCCCCCAACUAGGGAAUAACCUUGCGAAAGUAAGACUAAUACCCUAUAAUUUCCUCAGAUGUCAUCUGACGAGGAAUAAAGAUUUAUCGGUUGUGGAUGGGGAUGCGUCUGAUUAGCUUGUUGGCGGGGUAACGGCCCACCAAGGCAACGAUCAGUAGGGGUUCUGAGAGGAAGGUCCCCGACAUUGGAACCGAGACACGGUCCGAACGCCUACGGGAGGCAGCAGUGAGGAAUAUUGGUCAAUGGGCGGAAGCCUGAACCAGCCAAGUAGCGUGCAGGAUGACGGCCCUAUGGGUUGUAAACUGCUUUUAUACAGGAAUAAAGUUAGCCACGUGUGGUUAUUUGUAGGUACUGUAUGAAUAAGGACCGGCUAAUUCCGUGCCAGCCGCCGCAGUAA